GGUGUUGAAUAGAAGGAGUUGAAUAGAAGGAGUUGAAUAGAAGGAGUUGAAUAGAAGGAGUUGAAUAGAAGGUGUUGAAUAGAAGGUGUUGAAUAGAAGGAGUUGAAUAGAAGGAGUUGAAUAGAAGGAGUUGAAUAGAAGGUGUUGAAUAGAAGGUGUUGAAUAGAAGGUGUUGAUUAGAAUGAGUUGAAUAGAAGGUGUUGAAUAGAAGGUGUUGAAUAGAAGGUGUUGAAUAGAAGGAGUUGAAUAGAAGGAGUUGAAUAGAAGGAGUUGAAUAGAAGGAGUUGAAUGGAAGGAGUUGAAUAGAAGGAGUUGAAUAGAAGGUGUUGAAUAGAAGGAGUUGAAUAGAAGGAG